AAAAAUUAGCAAGUUGAAUCCAGUAAUAUCUGAAAGGACAAUGCAUAGUAACCAACUGGAGUUGAUUCCAGAAAUCACACAGAGGACACACGGAGGGAAGAGCCAUGAAGAGAGUCCUCACCCGAAAUCAACUCUGAUACCACCUUGAUCAUGGAGCUCCAGCCUCCAGAACUAUAAUGAAAUGAAUUUCUGCUCUUUAA